ACGGAAGGCAGCAGUGGGGAAUAUUGGGCAGUGGGCGAAAGCCUGACCCAGCAACGCCGCGUGAAGGAAGAAGGUCUUCGGAUUGUAAACUUCUUUUAUGAGGGACGAAGGACGUGACGGUACCUCAUGAAUAAGCCACGGCUAACUACGUGCCAGCAGCCGCGGUAAUACGUAGGUGGCGAGCGUUAUCCGGAUUUACUGGGUGUAAAGGGCGCGUAGGCGGGGAUGCAAGUCAGAUGUGAAAUCCAUGGGCUCAACCCAUGAACUGCAUUUGAAACUGUAUCUCUUGAGUGCUGGAGAGGUAGACGGAAUUCCUAGUGUAGCGGUGAAAUGCGUAGAUAUUAGGAAGAACACCAGUGGCGAAGGCGGUCUACUGGACUGUAACUGACAUUGAGGCUCGAAAGCGUGGGGAGCAAACAGGAUUAGAUACCCUGGUA
rnacentral:rRNA from 1 species